ACACACUUCAGAGCUCAUUUCAAUUAAAAAUAUUAUUAUUAAUUUACUACUAAAUCCACCUUCACAAAUAUUUACCCGCUUUGAUCCGUAUAAUUAUAAUUUAUUGUAACCCACUACCCCCAUGAAUAUAAGCUGCACCUUGACCUGAAGUCCUAGUAUAACAACUGAUUAGAUUAUAUUCUUUAAAAAUAAUCAGACAACGGCGGUAUACAAACUGAAAACAAAUUCAUGUGCAUUAAAUCGUGGAUUAUCGAUCCAGGAGCAGGUUCCUCUAGUAAGAAUGAAGUACCGCCAAAUUCUUUAGGUUUAAAAAAUUUUACUACCC
rnacentral:rRNA from 1 species